GCUGGGCGUGGUGGCGCACGCCUGUAAUCCCAGCUGCUCUGGAGGCUAAGGCAGGAAGAUCGCGAGUUCAAAGCGAGUCUUAGCAAAAGCCAGGUGCUAAGCAACUCAGUGAGACUCUGUCUCUA
rnacentral:sRNA from 1 species